rnacentral:rRNA from 1 species
UACGUAGGGCGCAAGCGUUGUCCGGAAUUAUUGGGCGUAAAGAGCUCGUAGGCGGUCUGUUACGUCCGCUGUGAAAACCCAGGGCUUAACCCUGGGCUUGCAGUGGAUACGGGUAGACUAGAGGCAGGUAGGGGAGAAUGGAAUUCCCGGUGUAGCGGUGAAAUGCGCAGAUAUCGGGAGGAACACCGGCGGCGAAGGCGGUUCUCUGGGCCUGACCUGACGCUGAGGAGCGAAAGCGUGGGGAGCGAACAGG